AACCAGCUCUUCAAGUGGUCGGGAUAAUUAUUGGGCUUAAAGUGUCAGUAGCUGGUAGGGUAAGUUCCUGGUAAAAUUGGGCAGCUUAACUGUCCUUAUGCUAGGAAUACUACUCUCCUAGAGGGCGGGAGAAGUCUGAGGUACUACAGGGGUAGGGGUGAAAUCUUAUAAUCCUUGUAGGACCACCAGUGGCGAAAGCGUCAGACCGGAACGCGCCUGACAGUGAGGGACGAAAGCCAGGGGAGCGAACCGGAUUAGAUACCCGGGUAGUCCUGGCCGUAAACGAUGCGCACUAGGUGAUGGUGCGGCUAUGAGCCGCAUCAGUGUCGUAGGGAAACCGUUAAGUGUGCCGCCUGGGAAGUACGGUCGCAAGGCUUAAACUUAAAGGAAUUGGCGGGGGGAGCACCACGAAGGGGUGAAGCCUGCGGUUC
rnacentral:rRNA from 1 species